rnacentral:misc_RNA from 1 species
UGAGGGAGAGCGUCAUAUUGAAGGA